GGUCAGGACGAACGCCGGCGGCGUGCCUAAUACAUGCAAGUCGAGCGGACAGAUGCGAGCUUGCUCCCUUGAUGUCAGCGGCGGACGCGUGAGUAACACGUGGGUAACCUGCACGUAAGACUGGGAUAACUCCGCGAAACCGGGGAUAAUACCGGAUGCUUGUAUGAACCGCAUGUUCAAACAUAAAAAGGGUGGCUUCGGCUACCACUUACAGAUGGACCCGCGGCGCCAUUAGCUAGGUUUGGUGAGGUAAUGGCUCACCAAGGCGACGAUGCGUAGCCGAACCUGAGAAGGGUGAUCGGCCACUCUGGGACUGAGACACGGCCCAGACUCCUACGGGAGGCAGCAGUAGGGAAUCUUCCGCAAUGGACGAAAGUCUGACGGAGCAACGCCGCGUGAGUGAUGAAGGUUUUCGGAUCGUAAAGCUCUGUUUGUUAGGGAAGAACAAGUACCGUUCGAAUUAGGGCGGUACCUUUGACGGUACCUAACCAGAAAGCCACGGCUAACUACGUGCCAGCAGCCGCGGUAAUACGUAGGUGGCAAGCGUUGUCCGGAAUUUAUUGGGCGUAAAGGGCUCGCAGGCGGUUUCUUAAGUCUGAUGUGAAAGCCCCCGGCUCAACCGGGGAGGGUCAUUGGAAACUGGGGAACUUGAGUGCAGAAGAGGAGAGUGGAAUUCCACGUGUAGCGGUGAAAUGCGUAGAGAUGUGGAGGAACACCAGUGGCGAAGACGGCGACUCUCUUGGUCUGUAACUGACGCUGAGGAGGGGAAAGGGGGGGGGACCAACAGGGUUUGGUUCCCUGGUAAUGCAAGUCGAGGAUGGAGAAGGUUAAGAGCUAGAGGGGUUUCCCCUCUUAUGGGCGGAAGUUAGGCCAUAAAACCAUUCCCCUGGGGGGUCCGGCGGACGGGUCGAAAAUUAAAAGGAUUGGAGGGGGCCCGGCCCAACGGUUGGGCAUGGGGUUUAAUUUGGAGUAACACGUGGGUACCUGCCCAGUUCUGGCCUUCUUUGACCAACCUUAAGACUGGGAUAACUCUUUGGGGACCGGGAAACCAGUGGGGCUAGGAUACCGGAUAACCGGAUUUUGAACCGCAUGGUUCAAUUCGCCAAGAAAGGCGACCUUGAUUUUCGGCUGUCACUUAUGGAUGGGCCAUUUUAAGGGGACUCCCGGUGACAAACCCGAAGAAAGGGGGGGAGAACUUCAAUUCUCCGUUCGCAUUAGGACCUUGGGUUCCCUAGUUGGUGAGGUAGACGGCUCACCAAGGCAACAGGCCCGGAGGGGGGAGUUAAUUUUAUAAAACCCUUUUUCAUUUGGGAUGGAGGGUUCAAAUUGCCUACCAGGAAGCGGAAACGGUUGGUAACCGGGAACCACCAUGCGCCGGGAAAUAGGUUCCCGGGCCUUGGUCCCCCCCCCCGGCCCCCCCAGAGAAUUUUUACCCACCGAAAUCGGUUGGGUACCUUUUGUAGAGCCAGCCGCCUAAAGUUGGAGAGGUUGAUUG
rnacentral:rRNA from 1 species